UACGAAGGGGGCUAGCGUUGCUCGGAAUCACUGGGCGUAAAGGGUGCGUAGGCGGGUUUUUAAGUCAGAGGUGAAAUCCUGGAGCUCAACUCCAGAACUGCCUUUGAAACUAGAUAGCUAGAAUCAUGGAGAGGUGAGUGGAAUUCCGAGUGUAGAGGUGAAAUUCGUAGAUAUUCGGAAAGAACACCAGUGGCGAAGGCGGCUCACUGGACAUGUAUUGACGCUGAGGUGCGAAAGCGUGGGGAGCAAACAGGGAUUAA
rnacentral:rRNA from 1 species